rnacentral:rRNA from 1 species
UACGAAGGGAGCAAGCGUUGUCCGGAUUUAUUGGGCGUAAAGAGCGUGUAGGCGGCCAGAUAGGUCAGCUGUGAAAACUCGAGGCUCAACCUCGAGAUGUCGGCUGAAACCAUCUGGCUAGAGUCCGGAAGAGGAGAAUGGAAUUCCCGGUGUAGCGGUGAAAUGCGCAGAUAUCGGGAAGAACACCCGUGGCGAAGGCGGUUCUCUGGGACGGUACUGACGCUGAGACGCGAAAGCGUGGGGAGCGAACAGG